GGCGGCAUGCUUAACACAUGCAAGUCGAACGGAAACGAUGGAGCUUGCUCCGGCGUCGAGUGGCGGACGGGUGAGUAACGCAUGGGAAUCUGCCUUUUGCUGGGGGAUAACGUAGGGAAACUUACGCUAAUACCGCAUAAGACCUGAGGGUGAAAGCGGGGGACCGAAAGGCCUCGCGGCGAGAGAUGAGCCCAUGCUGGAUUAGCUGGUUGGUGGGGUAAAGGCCUACCAAGGCGACGAUCCAUAGCUGGUCUGAGAGGAUGAUCAGCCACACUGGGACUGAGACACGGCCCAGACUCCUACGGGAGGCAGCAGUGGGGAAUAUUGGACAAUGGGGGGAACCCUGAUCCAGCAAUGCCGCGUGUGUGAAGAAGGCCUUCGGGUUGUAAAGCACUUUCAGUAGGGAGGAAAGGUGCGUAGUUAAUACCUGCGCAAUUGACGUACCUACAGAAGAA
rnacentral:rRNA from 1 species